rnacentral:rRNA from 1 species
UACAGAGGUCUCAAGCGUUGUUCGGAAUUACUGGGCGUAAAGCGCGCGCAGGCGGUUUUCCAAGUCAGUGGUGAAAGCCCGGGGCUCAACUCCGGAACUGCCAUUGAAACUGUUAAACUUGAGGACGAGAGAGGUGAGUGGAAUUCCCAGUGUAGAGGUGAAAUUCGUAGAUAUUGGGGAGAACACCAGUGGCGAAGGCGGCUCACUGGCUCGUAUCUGACGCUCAGGCGCGAUAGCGUGGGGAUCAAACAGG